GCUCUGUCUGCCGCUUCCCCCUCAAUCGACACCUGGUGGGAUGUUGGCCUCAAAAACUCCGACAACAAUUUGAGAAGGUGUUGCAGCAUCUGCCUCAUCUAUAUCAUGUGGAAUGCCUGGAAGAAGAGGAACCGACGAAUCUUCGAAGGCACAAGAUUGCCAUACAUCGAGGUUGCGCACCUAACCUUCGAGGAGAUCAUGCAGCGCGACAUGGCCUUCCGGCCAAGAGCGACCCAAAUUCAUGAGUAG
rnacentral:rRNA from 1 species